rnacentral:rRNA from 1 species
GACAGAGGGUGCAAACGUUGUUCGGAAUUACUGGGCGUAAAGCGCGUGUAGGCGGCUAAGUAAGUCGGGCGUGAAAUCCCACGGCUCAACCGAGGAAGUGCACUCGAAACUGCAUAGCUAGAGUCCUGGAGAGGAAGGUGGAAUGCUUGGUGUAGAGGUGAAAUUCGUAGAUAUCAAGCGGAACACCGGUGGCGAAGGCGGCCUUCUGGACAGUGACUGACGCUGAGACGCGAAAGCGUGGGGAGCAAACAGG